GGUGAACGCUGGCGGUAGGCCUAACACAUGCAAGUCGAACGGCAGCACAGUAAGAGCUUGCUCUUACGGGUGGCGAGUGGCGGACGGGUGAGGAAUACAUCGGAAUCUACUUUUUCGUGGGGGAUAACGUAGGGAAACUUACGCUAAUACCGCGUACGACCUACGGGUGAAAGCAGGGGAUCUUCGGACCUUGCGCGAUUGAAUGAGCCGAUGUCGGAUUAGCUAGUUGGCGGGGUAAAGGCCCACCAAGGCGACGAUCCGUAGCUGGUCUGAGAGGAUGAUCAGCCACACUGGAACUGAGACACGGUCCAGACUCCUACGGGAGGCAGCAGUGGGGAAUAUUGGACAAUGGGCGCAAGCCUGAUCCAGCCAUACCGCGUGGGUGAAGAAGGCCUUCGGGUUGUAAAGCCCUUUUGUUGGGAAAGAAAAGCAGCAGGUUAAUACCCCGCUGUUCUGACGGUACCCAAAGAAUAAGCACCGGCUAACUUCGUG
rnacentral:rRNA from 1 species